rnacentral:rRNA from 1 species
UGUGACGGCGUGCCUUUUGCAUAAUGAACCUACGAGUUACUUUUUCCGGCAAGGUUAAGCAUCUUGAGAUGUGGAUCCGAAGCGAAAGCGAGUCUGAACAGGGCGGAUAGUCGGAAGGAGUAGACGCGAAACCAAGUGAUCUACCCUUGGGCAGGUUGAAGGUUAGGUAACACUAACUGGAGGACCGAACCGAUAAGCGUUGAAAAGCUUCCGGAUGACCUGAGGGUGGGGGUGAAAGGCUAAUCAAACUUGGAGAUAGCUCGUACUCCCCGAAAUGCAUUUAGGUGCAGCCUUGAGAGUUACUAAUGUGAGGUAGAGCGACUGAUAAGAUGCGAGGGCUUCACCGCCUAUCAAGUCUUGAUAAACUCCGAAUGCGCAUUAGUUCUAUCUCAGGAGUGAGGGCAUGGGUGCUAAGGUCCAUGUCCUAAAGGAGAAGAAUCCAGACCAUCAGCUAAGGUCCCCAAAUAAACACUAAGUUGAACUAACGAAGUCAGAUUGCUAAGACAGCUAGGAUGUUGGCUUGGAAGCAGCCAUUCAUUUAAAGAGUGCGUAACAGCUCACUAGUCGAGGAGUUUGGCGUGGAUAAUAAUCGGGCAUUAAGUGUUUUACCGAAGCUAUGGGAUACGUAAGUAUCGGUAGGGGAGCAUUCCACUCAGCGUUGAAGGCUAAGCGUGAGCUUUACUGGAGCGUGUGGAAAAGCAAAUGUAGGUAUAAGUAACGAUAAAGGGGGUGAGAAACCCCCUCGCCGCAAGACUAAGGUUUCCUGAUCAACGCUAAUCGGAUCAGGGUUAGUCGGGUCCUAAGGCUCAGCCGAACGGUGAGGCCGAUGGCAGAACAGGUUAAUAUUCCUGUACUACCU